UUGAAACGGCGGGAGUAACUUUUUCACAUUACUCAUUGUUAAGCUCGAAACACAAAGAGACCAAAUUUGUCUCCUCUUCAAUAUUCUUUUAUACUUAUCUUAAUUUUUUUCUCGGGAGAAAUGGGUAUGAGAAAAGACAAAUGAAUUAUGCCAAGUUGGGCUUAUUUCAUUAUUAUCACUAUUAUUCCAUAAGUACAAACCCUCACAUCAAAUAUAUAGCAAACACAUAUCACUUGGAGAGAAGAACCCUCCAUCCAAACAUCUAUAUAUCUAUAUAAAGUUAGGAAUAGGAAAGAUGAUGUGGCAUCUUUCAUAGCUCAAAAAAGUCCUCCAUUUUUUUUCUAAUUUUUUUUUGGCUUUUAUCCAUUACUUGAUGUAAAAAUCUAUAGAAUAUUAAAAUAUCAUAUUUAUGUCAUCCUUAUUAUUGUCAUUUAUGGAAGGCUUAAAUUGCAUAUUUAUCUUCUUCCUUUUAGAGAGUGACUAAACAAAUUCUACAAUCAAUUUGAAAAUGAAAACGGUCAAUCAAUUAAUUAAGGAAAUUGAACGGGUUCUCCACCAUUAUCUUCACCGGACUUUCAUGGUAGUCAAAAUGGUGGCUCACCAGCUGUUGCACCCUCGGUUUUUUAUGGUAGUCAACAUACUGACUCACUAGUUGCUGCACCCCUGGGCUUUCAUGGUAGUCAGCAUACUGGCUCACCAGCUGCUGCACCCCCCAGCUUUCAUGGUAGUCAGCAUACUAGCUCACCAGCUGUUGCACCCCCGAGCUUUCAUGGUAGUCAGCAUGAUGGUGCAUCUUUUGUUGCUCCAUCAUCUUCCAGUCCAUCAUCAUCAUCCAUUCCCAGCAUAUCUAGGUUGGAUAUUGGAGGCUCUCGCCCAGCUACAUCUAGUGUUGCUUCUGCACCAUCUCGUAGACGCAGACAGAAUCUUGGAGGGGAUGUACAAUUUGAUAGUUAUAAUCGAUUGAUAAUUGUCCCCCACAAGGAUGGGUUUUUGCCAUCCUUUCAAGCUACACAUUUGAUUACAGAUUCUAUGAAGCCAUUUUAUCAUGAGUCGUGGACUUCUUGGAGAAAGAUACCGUACAGCAUUAGAGAGCAAAUGUGGAAUCAAUUUAGGACAAGGUGUACAUGGCAUCCUUAGCAUCAAAAUGCAAUAAAUAGUAUUUUCGAGAAGAAAGCUGCUACAAGGAUUAAAGAUACUAUGUGCGCUACUCGGAAUUCCGGUAAUAUGCCGGAGUGGUUAAGAGAAGAUGUUUGGGAUAAACUUCUUGAGAAAUGGAAUACUCCAUAAUGGAAGGCAAAGAGUGAACAAGCAAAGGCAAACUGUGCCUCUAAAAAAGGUGGCUCGUUGCACACAUGAGGUUCGAUUACUUUUGAGGCCCAUAAACUAAGAAUGGAAAAGGAAAGAGGGCGAGAUGUGAGUUACGCUGAGGUUUUCGAGGAGUUGCAUAAGAAAAAGAAAAAGGAUGGUACAAGAGAACACUGGGUGGAAACGCGUGCGUCAGACACAUAUGAAGAUUAUCAUAAAAGGUUGGAAGAAUGGCAACAAACUCAGCCUCCUUCAACUCAACCAACACCUGAUGAUAUGGCUUCAUUGUGGACAGAGGCAGCGGGUGGAGCAAACACAGGCAGAGUCUACGGACUAGGAAUACAUAGACUUACAGGUCAUCCAAACUCACUCUUAGCCAAUUCUUCUUCUCCUCAAAAUCAAGAACAGAUGGAAGAUAUGAGAAACGAAAUUCGUGAAUUGAAGCAACAAUUGGACUCCCAAUACGGAACAUUUGUUAAGAUGCAGAAAUUCAUGCAUAAACAUUGGCAUGAUUUAUCUGAUAAUGAGGAUGAAUAAACUGAAUCUGAUGUGUAGCAGUUUAGUUGUGAUGUUUUGGUUGAUUGGUGAACUUGAUUGUGAGAGACAACUUUAUGUAUUGCUUUUAAACUUGAAUAUGGGCUGCUAUUUGGAUGUUUUUAUGCCCAAAAUUGUUAGGUUUAAAUGUUGGUUUAAGUUGUGUUAAU